CGCCUCCUGCCCACUCAGCAUAGGAGGUCCCGCCUGCCCUGUGACCAAAAGUUUAACGGCCGCGGUAUUUUAACCGUGCAAAGGUAGCGCAAUCAAUUGUCUUUUAAAUGAAGACCUGUAUGAAUGGCAUAACGAGGGUUUAACUGUCUCUUUUUUCAGGUCAAUGAAACUGAUCUGUCCGUGCAGAAGCGGACAUAUUAACACAAGACGAGAAGACCCUAUGGAGCUUUAGACGCCCACCAACCGCGAAAAGCAGCCUACCUAAACAGAUGCUCUAAACAACGCGGUCCUGGUAUAAACGUCUUCGGUUGGGGCGACCGCGGAGGAGAACAAAGCCUCCGAGAGGAAUGGGAACAAACCCUAAAACCAAGAGCCACAGCUCUAAGUCACAAAAAAUUUGACCGACAAUGAUCCGGCUUACUGCCGAUCAACGGACCAAGUUACCCUAGGGAUAACAGCGCAAUCCCCUCCCAGAGUCCAUAUCGACGAGGGGGUUUACGACCUCGAUGUUGGAUCAGGACAUCCUAAUGGUGCAGCCGCUAUUAAGGGUUCGUUUGUUCAACGAUUAAAGUCCU
rnacentral:rRNA from 1 species